GUUCGCAAUAACAUACUGAUGAUAUUGGUAUAGAUUGGUAUCUAUUAGUUUUCCGACGUGCAUCGACAAACGUGUGACAUUGUUCUACGAUAUUGCAAUUUUACGUCAUUCAUAUAUGUGAAUAUAUAGACCUCGCGGUGUAUUAUCGUUUGUUCUUACCUAACUAUUAUUAUUAUUGUUUUUGUUUGUUUCAAGGUGUUUUUGUGCGCACAUCCGUAUUCAAAAAUGGUCAACAAGAGCGUUCUCAGUAUAAUUUCACUGCUCGCAGUUCUAGUCAUUUCCUUUACAGCGGCGCAUACUAUACAUGAAAAACAUGUCAUUCACGUUCCUCUGUUGGUACAUUACGUCCAUCAUCAUCAUCGGAAAAUUAUAAAACCACCCAGACAUAAAAUUAAAAAAACCAGAAAAUUUAUACAUCGAUAUCAUAGUUACUGGUAUUGAAAACUAAACUAUAUACAUUAUAAAAUUAAAAAUAAAAUACCCAAUUAUUGACUAAAUUUGAUUAUAAUUAUAUUUAACUAUUUUUAUUGAUGAACUAAGUAUAUGCACAUAUAAUAUAUAUAUAUAAUGCACAAAAUAUUAUAAUAAAUACAUGCAUUUAUACCUAUCCUUAGUAUACAUAAUUUGUAUAGUUGUAAAUCAUUAAAAGAAGGUAUAUCAAAUAUAAUAUUAUGCUUAACUUGACACUAUGAUUGUUGUUAUAGUAUACAUGUUAAGUAACUACAUUUAAACUUAACCAUUAUUGUUAUUGAUAUUAAGUUAUGAAAUGUGUUUAUAACUAACAAUUUAAGACGGUGUUUUUUUUUUUAUUUCAAUACAUUUAUUUUAUAUUAAACUACAUUAGUACAAGAUUGUGAACUGAU